UUGAAAGGGAAACGAUUGAAGUCAGUCAUACCAACGGGAAAUCAACCUUUUGAGCUCGGUCUCGUGGGUUUUGAAGAGUUUCAAAGCCUUCGGAUUCGCGGGAUUGGGAUCUCUUGGCGUACUUUCUCGUACGGUUAGUCAACAUCGGUUUUGAAUGUCAUAAAAUGACUGGAGGAAUGUAGCUUCGAUCUCGUAUUGAAGUGUUAUAGCCUUUGGUAGAUGUGAUGUUUGAGACCGAGGAUUGCAACGGAUACCCUUCAGGGCUAUUCGUCUGAUCUCUGAUACGUUGCCUUGAUGUUGAAAGCUUGCUUAUGAUGUUAAGGUAUUACGGUCAAAAGGUUAGAACGAAUUACAUUCGUUAAGGAUGUUGACGUA
rnacentral:rRNA from 1 species